rnacentral:lncRNA from 1 species
CAACUUCCCCAAUCUUCCUAAAUCCCCAAAGUCCAUCAACAAUCCUACAUAAUUCAUGAAAAUGUUCGCAUAUUAUUGUUUAAUAAGGUUCAGACCCCUUACCUGAGAUAAUUCGGCAACUCAACGCUUCAGCUUUUCCGCUCUUCAGCCUUUGCUCUGCAGCUUCUCCCUUCUCUGCAGCUUCUCAACUUCCACGUAAAAC